AGUGGAUGGGGAGCAACCUAGUUGUGCGUGUGUAAAGGUAGUGCCAAGAAAAGCGAUGAUCAUGUUGAAAAUCAAUUCCCGGUACCCGAAACCGACACAGGUGGGCAAGUAGAGAAUACUAAGGGGCGCGAGGUAACUCUCUCCAAGGAACUCGGCAAAAUGACCCCGUAACUUAGGGAGAAGGGGUGCCACCGAGAGGUGGUCGCAGUGAAGAGGCCCAGGCGACUGUUUAGCAAAAACAUAGGUCUCUGCAAACUCGAAAGAGGAGGUAUAGGGGCUGACGCCUGCCCAGUGCCGGAAGGUUAAAGAAGUUGGUCAGUUUUAGGAUGAAGCUAGCGACUGAAGCCCCGGUGAACGGCGGCCGUAACUAUAACGGUCCUAAGGUAGCGAAAUUCCUUGUCGGGUAAGUUCCGACCCGCACGAAAGGCGUAACGAUCUGGGCGCUGUCUCGGAGAGAGGCUCGGCGAAAUAGGAUUGUCUGUGAAGAUACGGACUACCUGCAUUUGGACAGAAAGACCCUAUGAAGCUUUACUAUAGCUUGGAAUUGUGUUCGGGCUUCCUGUGCGCAGGAUAGGUGGGAGGCGUAGAAGGUAUUCUUGUGGGGAUACUGGAGCCAACGGUGAGAUACCACUCUCAGGAGGCUAGAAUUCUAACUUAAUUAAGGACAGUUUCAGGUGGGUAGUUUGACUGGGGCGGUCGCCUCCAAAAAGGUAACGGAGGCGUACAAAGGUUCCCUCAGACUGGUUGGAAAUCAGUCGAAGAGUGCAAAGGCAGAAGGGAGCUUGACUGCGAGAAGUACAGUUCGAGCAGGGUGGAAACACGGUCUUAGUGAUCCGACGGUGCUGUGUGGAAGGGCCGUCGCUCAACGGAUAAAAGUUACUCUAGGAUAACAGGCUGAUCUCCCCCAAGAGUUCACAUCGACGGGGAGGUUUGGCACCUCGAUGUCGGCUCAUCGCAACCUGGGGCGGAAGUACGUCCCAAGGGUUGGGCUGUUCGCCCAUUAAAGCGGUACGUGAGCUGGGUUUAGAACGUCGUGAGACAGUUCGGUCCAUAUCCGAUGUAGGCGUGAGAAUAUUGAGAGGAGCCUUCCUUAGUACGAGAGGACCGGGAAGGACGCACCGCUGGUGUACCUGUUAUGAUGCCAAUUGUAAACGCAGGGUAGCCAAGUGCGGAGAGGAUAACCGCUGAAAGCAUCUAAGUGGGAAGCCCACCUCAAGAUGAGUAUUCUGGUGUAAGGUCACGGGAAGACGACCCGUAAAUAGGCACGAGGUGGAAGUGCAGAGAUGUAUGAAGCCGAAGUGUACUAAUAGACCGUCGGCUUGACC
rnacentral:rRNA from 1 species